AGUGCAGUGGGUGGUCCCAUGAUAUCUCAGUCUCUUUGAGGAAGAUCCUGGAAGAGAAGAGGAGGUGGCUGUCCCAGGAGGACAGCUUUCUGGCAGAGGGGCCUGUGCUGACCUCCCCACGCUGGGACAGAUUUCCUUGCUGGGCUCUGCAGAACAUCUGGGCUUGCUCCUACUGGUCACUGGCGACGCAAGGGCCACACACCUGCACGUGAUUAGGACUCAGCAGACGCCCACGGCCCUACAGUCAGCGGCUACACACUGGUGACACGUCGCAGAGGACAAGUUUCUCCCAGAUCCUUGUUCCUUCCAAUCAGAUGGGUGCAGGGCUGUGAGGUCAUGGGGCACAGUGCACCCAUACCACACCAAACACCACCCUCGGCGGAGAGCAGGGGAGGCCCCUCAGCCUCGACGUGCCUGGAAAGAGCAGGUGUCAGGGCAGACCCAGGACACCCUAGGACCAGGGAGGAAGCAGAGACAUCAGACUUGGCCUCCUUUGCAACUGUCACUGCAGGUCCUUUUAGACUCCUCUUCUGAGUGUUUGAGAAAUAGUAAAAUCUCAAAUGCCACUGCUGACUCUUCUUUCUCCCGCAAACACCCCUUCUCUGCUGAAUGUGCAAUCCUCUGACCACAGAAGGCUGGGGUAGGUCAGGUAGAGCUGAAACAUUGCCCGAGCACCGUUACGAUCAGGGCAUGACCAGAACUGACGCUGUCCAAGGGCAGAGUCGUCAAGGUUAUACGUUCAUUGUACCUGCCUAGUGAAUUGGCUGGAAGGAAAUGCGAUUUUCCUCCUCGUGAAAGAGACUUUUAUUUAGUAGUAAUAAAAUUAAUGCACUAAAAGAGAGCAGGCUUUCUUGACCUUUCACCAGACAGAAGAACUCACAUGACAGCCACAACUUGCAUUAACAUACGAGAUGAUCCUCAAAAAGCUCAUGGAAAAAUGCGUAUUAUGAAAACUCGACGCACAGAUGUCAGAGGAAACUGGUAUUGUUAGGACCAGCAGAUGGUGUAAUGGUUAUGUUGCUGCAUUCCCACGUGGCCGGCUGCAGUU